rnacentral:rRNA from 1 species
UGGGGAAUAUUGGGCAAUGGGCGCAAGCCUGACCCAGCAACGCCGCGUGAAGGAAGAAGGCUUUCGGGCUGUAAACUUCUUUUAUGAGGGACGAAGGAAGUGACGGUACCUCAUGAAUAAGCCACGGCUAACUACGUGCCAGCAGCCGCGGUAAUACGUAGGUGGCGAGCGUUAUCCGGAUUUACUGGGUGUAAAGGGCGUGUAGGCGGGAUUGCAAGUCAGAUGUGAAAACUAUGGGCUCAACCCAUAGCCUGCAUUUGAAACUGUAGUUCUUGAGUGCUGGAGAGGCAAUCGGAAUUCCGU